UACGUAGGGUGCGAGCGUUAAUCGGAAUUACUGGGCGUAAAGCGCGCGUAGGCGGUUAUUUAAGUCUGUGGUGAAAGGUUCAGCGCUCAACGCGAACAUUGCCCUGGAUACUGGAUGACUUGAGUCUGGGAGAGGGUAGCGGAAUUCCUGGUGUAGCGGUGAAAUGCGUAGAUAUCAGGAGGAACACCGGUGGCGAAGGCGGCUACCUGGCCUAAGACUGACGCUGAGGUGCGAAAGCGUGGGGAGCGAACGGG
rnacentral:rRNA from 1 species